ACCGCCCCCUUUCUUCAUUCCUAACACAUGCAAGUCGAACGAGACCUUCGGGUCUAGUGGCGCACGGGUGCGUAACGCGUGGGAACCUGCCCUUAGGUUCGGAAUAACUCCCCGAAAGGGGUGCUAAUACCGGAUAAUGUCUUCGGACCAAAGAUUUAUCGCCUUUGGAUGGGCCCGCGUUGGAUUAGCUAGUUGGUAGGGUAAAAGCCUACCAAGGCGACGAUCCAUAGCUGGUCUGAGAGGAUGAUCAGCCACACUGGGACUGAGACACGGCCCAGACUCCUACGGGAGGCAGCAGUGGGGAAUAUUGGACAAUGGGCGAAAGCCUGAUCCAGCAAUGCCGCGUGAGUGAUGAAGGCCUUAGGGUUGUAAAGCUCUUUUACCCGGGAUGAUAAUGACAGUACCGGGAGAAUAAGCUCCGGCUAACUCCGUG
rnacentral:rRNA from 1 species